ensembl:lncRNA LINC03048 long intergenic non-protein coding RNA 3048
UGGGUCCAGGGCAGCGACCUAGUCCAUUUGUCCUUUUCGAAGUGUGGCCUGGGACACCUCCUAUCCAGCCAUACGCCGCCCAGGACUGGCUCAACAGCUCCACCCUCCACUGCUGUUCACCCAUGACACGUCACUUCCCACCCGCCACUGCUGGCUCACCUGUGACACCCCAGGCAGCUCAGAUGCCCGGCAGGUCCUGCUGGUGUGUGUUAGCCGGGGUCUCCAAAGAACCAGAGCCAGCAGGGGACACACCCAUCUCUGUAUCUGGAGAAAAAGAUCGAUGAGAAGGAAUCUGCUCCUGUGAUGAUGGAGGCUGACAAGUCCCGAGAGCCACGGUUGGCACCCUGGAGACCCCUG